rnacentral:rRNA from 1 species
GACGAACGCUGGCGGCGUGCCUAACACAUGCAAGUCGAGCGAGGAGAGUUCCUUCGGGAACAAACCUAGCGGCGGACGGGUGAGUAACACGUGGGCAACCUGCCUUGUAGAGGGGAAUAGCCUUCCGAAAGGGAAGAUUAAUACCGCAUAACAUUACAGUUUCGCAUGAAACAGUAAUUAAAGGAGCAAUCCGCUACAAGAUGGGCCCGCGGCGCAUUAGCUAGUUGGUGAGGUAACGGCUCACCAAGGCGACGAUGCGUAGCCGACCUGAGAGGGUGAUCGGCCACAUUGGGACUGAGACACGGCCCAGACUCCUACGGGAGGCAGCAGUGGGGAAUAUUGCACAAUGGGGGAAACCCUGAUGCAGCAACGCCGCGUGAGUGAUGAAGGUUUUCGGAUCGUAAAGCUCUGUCUUCGGGGACGAUAAUGACGGUACCCGAGGAGGAAGCCACGGCUAACUACGUG